rnacentral:rRNA from 1 species
CGACGUGGGUAACCUGCCUCAUACAGGGGGAUAGCAGCUGGAAACGGCUGAUAAAACCGCAUAAGCGCACAGCAUCGCAUGAUGCAGUGUGAAAAACUCCGGUGGUAUGAGAUGGACCCGCGUCUGAUUAGCUGGUUGGUGAGGUAACGGCCCACCAAGGCGACGAUCAGUAGCCGACCUGAGAGGGUGACCGGCCACAUUGGGACUGAGACACGGCCCAA